rnacentral:lncRNA from 1 species
UCACAACCCCCUUUUCCAAUCGGUUAAGGGUUUUGGGAUAUUUAGAAUUAAACGUCCUUGAGUUUGAAUAGUAUUGGGCUGGGUGAUUUCUCGGGAAGUCUAAACUUGGGAGCUUACACUUGUCCCUAAAGAGUGCUUAGAUUUGGGAUUUUGGUUUAGAUCUUCCUUUUCAUUCAUCUUCAUGGUAGAUCAGUAGUCUCUUCCUCUUUUGACUCUAGAGUAACAGUUGAUGCAAUUACUUAAUAUUAUGCAAUUGCAAUUGAACAACUAAACUCAACUGAUGGCAACAUUCAUAGUAUGUGGUACAGCUCCUCUUACUCUUGAUGCC